ACAUAUCACAUUGAAACACUGAUACCUGUAUGAUCACCAAAGUUAAGCAACGUUGAGCCUGGUUAAUACCUAGAUGGAUGACCACUUGGGGAUACCAGGUGCUGG